CAACACACACAAGUCGAACGAGCCCUUCGGGUUUAGUGGCGCACGGGUGAGUAACGCGUGGGAACCUGCCCUUUGGUUCGGAAUAACUCAGGGAAACGGGUGCUAAUACCGGAUAAGCCCUUCGGGGGAAAGAUUUAUCGCCAUUGGAGGGGCCCGCGUUGGAUUAGCUAGUUGGUGGGGUAAAGGCUCACCAAGGCGACGAUCCGUAGCUGGUCUGAGAGGAUGAUCAGCCACACUGGGACUGAGACACGGCCCAGACUCCUACGGGAGGCAGCAGUCGCCCGCCGCGCCCCGC
rnacentral:rRNA from 1 species